rnacentral:rRNA from 1 species
GAUGAACGCUGGCGGCAUGCCUAAUACAUGCAAGUCGAACGAGAGGAAGGAAAGCUUGCUUUUCUGAAUCUAGUGGCGAACGGGUGAGUAACACGUAGGUAACCUGCCCAUGUGCCCGGGAUAACUUCUGGAAACGGAUGCUAAAACCGGAUAGGUAGCAGACAAGCAUUUGACUGCUAUUAAAGUGGCUAAGGCCAUGAACAUGGAUGGACCUGCGGUGCAUUGGCUAGUUGGUGAGGUAACGGCCCACCAAGGCGACGAUGCAUAGCCGGCCGGAGAGGGCGGACGGCCACAUUGGGAAUGAGACACGGCCCAAACUCCUACGGGAGGCAGCAGUAGGGAAUUUUCGUCAAUGGGGGGAACCCUGAACGAGCAAUGCCGCGUGAGUGAGGAAGGUCUUCGGAUCGUAAAGCUCUGUUGUAAGAGAAAAACGACAUUCAUAGGGAAUGAUGAGUGAGUGAUGGUAUCUUACCAGAAAGUCACGGCUAACUACGUGCCAGCAGCCGCCGCCG